rnacentral:rRNA from 1 species
GGACAAGCGUUAUCCGGAUUCACUGGGCGUAAAGAGCGUUGAGGCGGUUCCGUAAGUUGGGCGUGAAAGCUCCGGGCUUAACUCGGAGAUGUCGUUCAAUACUGCGGGGCUUGAGGACAGCAGAGGAAGGUGGAAUUCCCGGUGUAGUGGUGAAAUGCGUAGAUAUCGGGAGGAACACCCGUGGCGAAGGCGGCCUUCUGGGCUGUUCCUGACGCUGAAGGCGAAAGCUAGGGGAGCGAACGGGAUUAGAUACCCCGGUAGUCCUAGCUGUAAACGAUGGAUGCUGGGUGUGGGGGGUGUAAAUUCCCUCUGUGCCGAAGCAAACGCGUUAAGCAUCCCGCCUGGGGACUACGGCCGCAAGGCUAAAACUCAAACGAAUUGACGGGGGCCCGCACAAGCAGCGGAGCGUGUGGUUUAAUUCGAUGCUACACGAAGAACCUUACCUGGGUUUGACAUGCACGUGGUAGGGAACCGAAAGGGGACCGACCUUCGGGAGCGUGCACAGGUGCUGCAUGGCUGUCGUCAGCUCGUGCCGUGAGGUGUCGGGUUAAGUCCCGUAACGAGCGCAACCCUUGCCCUUAGUUACAAGUGUCUAAGGGGACUGCCCGGGACAACUGGGAGGAAGGUGGGGAUGACGUCAAGUCAGCAUGGCCUUUAUAUCCAGGGCUACACACACGCUACAAUGGCCGGUACAAUAGGUUGCGAAGUCGUGAGGCGGAGCCAAUCCUCAAAGCCGGUCUCAGUUCGAAUUGCAGUCUGCAACUCGACUGCAUGAAGCUGGAGUUGCUAGUAAUCGCAGGUCAGCUAUACUGCGGUGAAUACGUUCCCGGGCCUU